rnacentral:rRNA from 1 species
AGAAUCAACGCUGGCGGCGUGCCUAACACAUGCAAGUCGAACGCGAAAGCCCCGCAAGGGGUGAGUAGAGUGGCAAACGGGUGAGUAACACGUGGGUGAUCUGCCUCAGAGUGGGGGAUAACGACCCGAAAGGGUCGCUAAUACCGCAUAACAUCCUGCCUUUGGAUAGGUGGAGAUCAAAGUUGGGGAUCCGCAAGGACCUGACGCUUGGAGAGGAGCCCGCGGCCGAUUAGCUAGUUGGUGAGGUAACGGCUCACCAAGGCAACGAU